UACAGAGGGUGCAAACGUUGCUCGGAAUUAUUGGGCGUAAAGCGCGUGUAGGCGGCUUGUUAAGUGGGUCGUGAAAGCCCAUGGCUCAACCAUGGAAGUGCAACCCAUACUGGCAAGCUUGAGUUCUGAAGAGGAUGGCGGAAUUCCCAGUGUAGAGGUGAAAUUCGUAGAUAUUGGGAGGAACAUCGGUGGCGAAGGCGGCCAUCUGGGAAGCGACUGACGCUGAGACGCGAAAGCGUGGGUAGCAAACAGG
rnacentral:rRNA from 1 species